CCCGAAAGUAACCUGGAUGACGCAGGGACAACACCGUCUCUUUACUGCUGCUUACCUGUCUUCUGUAUUUUACAGCAUGCAGGCUGAUGAACUGCACCCAUCAGGAGGAUUCAGGAGAGUUGCCCAUUGACACUCCAGAAAGAAGGGUGCUUGCCAGCAGAUCAGAUGUCUCAGCCUGGACACCCUGACUGCUCGAAGUGUCUUUUGCGUCACUGGCAGCGCGACUCACAAUGACGUCAAAUCCAGAACACAGAGGAGUUCUGCACAUCGACAUAGAGAUCAUGGAUGUCUAUGGGAUGGGAAUCAAUAGAAGAUCAAGGAAGUGCCUGGAAAAUAAGUUGAUCGUGAAAUGUUCCAGACUGAACUUUUACUUCAAAAGGAACUUCCAAAAAAGGGGAACAGACAGACACACCAGUCACAAGAACUUUGAAGCCUGGGCCUUGUGGAUGUGAAGCAGCAAAUUGAGGUGAAGAGUCAGAGGGAGGAUGCUGGCCGCUCAGAUGGAGGAUAAGAGGUCAAAAACACUGCAGCUGAAUGGGACAAAUAAGUGCUCUGCUGUUAACACAACCUGACACCUGUACAGAAAGGCUAAGCCUCGUUCAACAUGGCUGUUUUUGACUAUUCUUUGGACAAAGGGUUGUCAAAGGGGUCUGAGGGCU